AUUAAAAAAUAAUGAGCUAAUAACGUGGCAUGUAUGAAAUGUAGUGGGGUAUGAUUUGAUUGUAUCCUGCCAGCCACCCUUUUCAAAUAGCAGAAAGGAACAGACCUAAUGGGCCAUUUGGUAAAGAUGCAUCAGCCGGAAUCUGUGUCUGGGCUGAUUUCAAGGCAGUGACAGACAUUUUAAGGUUACCACUUUGUUGUAGGUUUCGCAUUUUAAAAUAAGUAAAAGAAUGCUGUGAUUGUUUUCUUGUGCUUUGCAACUUGAUGUUCCUGUUCAAACUGUUCUACGUAAAUUAAUUCUGUUUUGGGUGUGAAUGAGGAAUGUGUGUUAAGAGAAAAGAGUGAAGGCCAUCGCUGUAUGAGGGAGGAACCAGAGACAGACGCGAGGGCGCCAGGAGGCUGCAACACGCCCCUGUUGAAAUGUCAGAGGAGGGCAGAUUGACGACUCUAAAGAGGAGACAGGCACCUGUCAAUGGGGACAAGAUAGCUGUGAUAA